rfam:Populus trichocarpa scaffold_2_contig_148, whole genome shotgun sequence.
UCUAGAACUCAAGAUAUGGGCUGAACACUGAACAAUAUUUGGGCUGCAUAAUAGAUUCAGACUUCUCCGUUAUUGCUACAAUUUGGACUUGAAAACGGCCUUUUUAAAUCUUUGACUCCCUAGAAAAGUUUUAGGCCUAUGUCUUAGCUUUCCAUC